rnacentral:rRNA from 1 species
UACGUAGGCAGCAAGCGUUGUUCGGAAUUACUGGGCGUAAAGGGUGCGUAGGUGGUUUCUUAAGUCAGAGGUGAAAGGCUACGGCUCAACCGUAGUAAGCCUUUGAAACUGGGAAACUUGAGUGCAGGAGAGGAGAGUGGAAUUCCUAGUGUAGCGGUGAAAUGCGUAGAUAUUAGGAGGAACACCAGUUGCGAAGGCGGCUCUCUGGACUGUAACUGACACUGAGGCACGAAAGCGUGGGGAUCAAACAGG